UUAUAUUUAAAUUUUGCUUAAAUGUUGUAGAAUUAUAAAAUAUUCCUUUAAUCUAAAGAUUUUCAUAAUAUUCCUAAAUAGAGAUUUUUAAUUGAUUUUAUUUCUUUAAAAUGAAAGGAAUUAUUAUUAAAUCUUAAAUAAGAACCCUUUUAAUCCAAAAUUAUAGAUAGUGCAUAAUUAAUUGGUACCAAUUUUUAUGGGCACCAUGGGAUUGCUAAUCUUUUCACAUAUAUAAC
rnacentral:lncRNA from 1 species